GAGAAAGACUGUCCAAGGAGGCAGCAGGAGCCAAGGCCAGUGACACCACAUCUCAAGGAGCCAAAUGACGAUGCGGAUUUUCAGGCUAAAACUGUGAGGCCAGAUUUUGCGGGCGGUGAGCUGGAAGGAGCACUGGACUAGGAGUCCUGAGAGGUUAGAGUAUAAGACUCCAUCCACCAGGAGGACAUACUGGCUCACACAUAAAAAGAAAGUUUUGGAACAGAUGAUCCUUCUGCUGUUUACCCCCGAACCCCCAGGCUAUUUAA
rnacentral:lncRNA from 1 species